AUUAAACGCUGGCGGCAUGCCUUACACAUGCAAGUCGAACGGCAGCACGGGGCAACCUGGUGGCGAGUGGCGAACGGGUGAGUAAAGCAUCGGAACGUACCCAGUCGUGGGGGAUAACGUAGCGAAAGUUACGCUAAUACCGCAUACGUCCUGAGGGAGAAAGCGGGGGACCGUAAGGCCUCGCGCGAUUGGAGCGGCCGAUGUCGGAUUAGCUAGUUGGUAGGGUAAAGGCCUACCAAGGCGACGAUCCGUAGCGGGUCUGAGAGGAUGAUCCGCCACACUGGGACUGAGACACGGCCCAGACUCCUACGGGAGGCAGCAGUGGGGAAUUUUGGACAAUGGGCGAAAGCCUGAUCCAGCCAUGCCGCGUGAGUGAAGAAGGCCUUCGGGUUGUAAAGCUCUUUCAGCCGGAAAGAAAUCGCGCAGGAUAAUACUCUGCGUGGAUGACGGUACCGGAAGAAGAAGCACCGGCUAACUACGUG
rnacentral:rRNA from 1 species